CCUACGGGAGGCAGCAGUGGGGAAUAUUGCACAAUGGGGGAAACCCUGAUGCAGCAACGCCGCGUGGGUGAAGGAGCGCUUCGGCGUGUAAAGCCCUGUCAGCGGGGAAGAAGCAAGACGGUACCCGACCAAGAAGCCCCGGCUAACUACGUGCCAGCAGCCGCGGUAAUACGUAGGGGGCGAGCGUUAUCCGGAAUUACUGGGUGUAAAGGGAGCGUAGACGGCGAGGGAAGCCGGAGGUGGAAGCCCGCGGCCCAACCGCGGAACUGCUUUUGGAACUGGUUGGCUGGAGUGUGGGAGGGGUAGGCGGAAUUCCUGGUGUAGCGGUGAAAUGCGUAGAUAUCAGGAGGAACACCGGUGGCGAAGGCGGCUUACUGGACCAUGACUGACGUUGAGGCUCGAAAGCGUGGGGAGCGAACAGGAUUAGAUACCCUAGUAGUC
rnacentral:rRNA from 1 species